CGAUGAUCUCCAGCUUGCUGGGGGGAUUAGUGGCGAACGGGUGAGUAACACGUGAGUAACCUGCCCUUGACUCUGGGAUAAGCCUGGGAAACUGGGUCUAAUACUGGAUGUGACCUUUUGCCGCAUGGUGAUUGGUGGAAAGUUUUGAUGGUUUUGGAUGGACUCGCGGCCUAUCAGCUUGUUGGUGGGGUAAUGGCCUACCAAGGCGACGACGGGUAGCCGGCCUGAGAGGGUGGACGGCCACACUGGGACUGAGACACGGCCCAGACUCCUACGGGAGGCAGCAGUGGGGAAUAUUGCACAAUGGGCGAAAGCCUGAUGCAGCGACGCCGCGUGGGGGAUGAAGGCCUUCGGGUUGUAAACCUCUUUCAGUAGGGAAGAAGCGAAAGUGACGGUACCUGCAGAAGAAGCGCCGGCUAACUACGUGCCAGCAGCCGCGGUAAUACGUAGGGCGCAAGCGUUAUCCGGAAUUAUUGGGCGUAAAGAGCUCGUAGGCGGUUUGUCGCGUCUGCCGUGAAAGUCCGGGGCUUAACUCCGGAUCUGCGGUGGGUACGGGCAGACUAGAGUGAUGUAGGGGAGACUGGAAUUCCUGGUGUAGCGGUGAAAUGCGCAGAUAUCAGGAGGAACACCGAUGGCGAAGGCAGGUCUCUGGGCAUUAACUGACGCUGAGGAGCG
rnacentral:rRNA from 1 species